GGGAGUGUAGCUCAGUGGCAGAGCAUUCGACUGCAGUCGAGAGGUCGGUGGUUCAUAUCCGCCCGCUCCUU